rfam:Methanolinea sp. SDB scaffold-11484, whole genome shotgun sequence.
GCGAGGGUUGCCGAGACAGGUCAAAGGCGCAGGCUUGAGGGGCCUGUCACGCAGGUGUUCGUGGGUUCAAAUCCCUCCCCUCGCA